rnacentral:lncRNA from 1 species
GUCCCCAGGCAUUGGCGACCCCCCAACACAGAACUCGCCGGCCCAGAGACACCCCCCUACCUCCCCGCCCCCCGCCUCGGCUCUCCAUCAGGCCCCGCCCACUGUCCUCUGCCGCCGCCCCCCCUCCCGAGGAGGCCGGAGCCCACUGUCCCCUAAUUACACGAUGCCCCCCCGGCCCCCGCCCGGCGCCCCUCGGCGGCUACUCACAGCGAGGAGAGGGGCUCCUUCCGGGGGGCAGCAUGCCCGGCCGCGGGGGGAGGACCCCCGGGAGGCGCGGGGAUGGGGCGCGCGGCCCGCUGCGGGAGGCGCGGGGGGCGGGGCGCGGCCGGGCCGGGUCUCCCGGCUGCCCCCCUCCCGGCUCCGGGGUGGGGAGGGGCGUCCGCGGCGGUCGCGGGGGGCUCGGGGGGGCUCGGGGGGCCGCCUCGCUCUCCCGCCCGCCGCCCGCCGCCCGGCCCGCCGCGCGCCUUCCUUCUCGCCCUCCUUUCUUUCCUUCUUUCUUUCCUUGCUUCCUUCCUUCCAGCCUUCCUUCCUUCCUUCCUCCCUCCGCGGGCCGCCGGCGCCGCGCUCCCCCCACCCCACCCCCCCAGGCCCCGGCCCGGCCCGGCCCCCGCCUCGGACGGUGCGGCAGCGACCGCGAGCAGCCGGGAGCGGCGGAGACGGGAGCGGAAUACUGAUGAUGAAGGGGGAGCGGUGAGGGAGGGCGCGGGAGGGGGGAAGCUGCCCGGGAAGGGAAGGGAAGGGGGGAGAGGAGAGAGGGAGGGAGGGCAGAGAGGAGGGGGGAGGGGAGGGAGGGAAAAGGAGACGACGGGGGAGGGGAGGGACGACAGAGGGGAUGGGGGGAAGGGGGUGGGAGAGAAAGGGGGGAGGGAGGGAGGGAGAGGGCAGGGAAGAAAGAAGGGGAAGGAGAAAAGAGGGAGGGAAGAGAGGGGAAGACGGGGAGAGUGGAGAAGGGAGGCCGGGCCAGGAGAAACUCCUGGGGCACCUUUGGGUCCCAAGGAGAGGCCAGAGCAGAGAAGCGGGGGAGAAUUCCACGUCCUACCAGCCUCUGAGCCUUCCUGGUCCAGAUCGGAAGCCCUGCCCGUGGGGUAUGACUGUCCCCAUGUGACUGAAGGGGAAAUGAGUUGCCGUCAACCAGCAGAGUUCACGGGGUGCCUGGUCCGUGAGGUUUAGCUCAAACACAAGAGGAACCUCACCGCUACCCACAGUCCCUCCAACUUUGCCCUAAAGCUUCACUCAAGUGGCGGCCCCAGCAGCUUAACCCCUGACCCCCAUCUGUCAUUCAUGUUUUUAACAUUGAUUGGGGCCUAUGAUGUAAGAAAGGGGGGCAGGGACCUGGGGACCCGCCACAGUAAUACAGACUCAAAAGGGAUGUUUACUGUUUCAAAAAACUAAAUGUAAAUUAUAUGUUUUCUUCGGGAUGGCAUUUCAGAGGUUAAUCCAAACAUCACAUUUCUCUGCUUCAGGCUGUAAAAAAAAUUUUUUUUUUUAUCCGCUCAGUGUGUUAACUGCUUGUCUCACCCAGAUCAGAAGUCCUGAAGGGCAGUUAGGUGUAUCUUUGAUAAAUAAAAUACAGGCAAAGGAAGGAAAUUUUCA